AGGACGAACGCUGGCGGCGUGCUUAACACAUGCAAGUCGAGCGGUAAGGCCUUUCGGGGUACACGAGCGGCGAACGGGUGAGUAACACGUGGGUGAUUUGCCCUGCACUCUGGGAUAAGCCUGGGAAACUGGGUCUAAUACCGGAUAUGACCUGCUCUCGCAGUGGGGGUGGGUGGAAAGAUUUAUCGGUGCAGGAUGGGCCCGCGGCCUAUCAGCUUGUUGGUGGGGUAAUGGCCUACCAAGGCGACGACGGGUAGCCGACCUGAGAGGGUGACCGGCCACACUGGGACUGAGACACGGCCCAG
rnacentral:rRNA from 1 species